ACAGCGUUUCCAACAACCUGUCACUGUUAUCGACUGUUUGAAUGUAUAAAUAUGAACACAUUUCGUCUGUAAAUAUGCAUAUGGUUACCUAGACAGAGGCUGUAUGAAAGAAUAUAGCCAAAAUCGCCGCUUUUUAUGGUGAUUUGUUAAAUGUCGCGCUAAGUCACUAAACUGAAAAUAUGUAAAUGAAAACGGCUUUAUUGUUGUAAAUAUAAUCCAUAGGCUAGAAUACCCUCACGGCUGUCUUUAAAAUCUCAAAAGGUAAGAGUUUUUUACAUGUAUUUGGUGGUGUUUCUUCGCCAAUAAUGAAUUUUGAUAUAACGUUGAUCAGGUCUAACUGCCUUACUUUACCGAUUUUUAGCCUUCGUUAUUAGAAAAUCCAGAGUGCUUUGCAAAAUGUUUACUUACACAGACUCGUGUAAGUAUACCUAUAAUAUUCGUUAAUGCCGUUUAACACACACGCUUACACAAGAACGUGAGUCACAAAUAACGUUUAACCAAAGGACAAAUUACUCUUAUAGUAUAAUCAAUGACAAAGUCUGCCCUUUUAUUCUUAGACAAAUUAAAAUGUUUAUAAGAAAAUAUUACUUAAGAAUAUUCUUAAGAACGUCCUAUAAUUUAUCUUAAUAAAGUUCUUAUAUUUUCUCUUAAGAACAGUUUUGUGAAUCCGGCGUGUUUGUGUGUGAAUUAUGGAAGAACCUGAUAGAACUGAAUUAAUAGGUAGAGCUGAGGCAGUGUGUGCUUGCAAAUGCCAGUGAGUUACAUUAUGCAGGGAAAUGUCUUGAUAUUGUUGCUACUGGUCCAGAAAAGCAUUGUUGUGUUGUAAAUCUUGUAUGAUGGAGGAUGUGUACAGGUGUUGAUAUUGUCCUUCAGGUUGUGAUCAUAGUUUGUAACUUGGCAAUGUAAUCCUGUAUAAGAUAGAGGUGUUGUCUACACGUAGUACCCUGUAGGCUAUUUCAAAACUUUAUUGUGCGUACGUGCGUAUGGGGGGGUCUACAAGACACUUGUGCCCAGGGGCCCCUGAAUUCUUAAUCCGGGCCUGGGAUAAUGACAUCUGCCUAAAGUAUGUAUUUAACUUUAUUUUUUAUAUUUUCAAUGUACAAUGUCUAGUCAUCAUUAAUUGACGACGCUUUGAAGAGACGCUAAAGAGAUCGAGGAAAUGCCAUUUCACUUCUUUUAAAUAUAUUUAUUUAAAUAAAUAAAUAAUGUCAGUAGGUGUUACAAAUCCAAAAUCUGUUAUUAAAAAUUGUAUAAAAUUAACUUACCCAUGAGAUGUGGAACCCAAUAAACUAAAAUUAAUUUUGCAUUGCAGAUCUGCAGUGAGACUACAGUAUAUGUCAUAGCAAAAGAAGAUUUGUGAAUUAUAAUUUUAUUACUUUAAGUUAUAUGUGGUUCCACACCCAACAGUUCUUCAUCAAAAUCCUUCAUUUUAAUUAAACCCUAUAAUAAAACACACCUGCCCAUAAUUUUCAAGCAAUCCCGAAGACCUUGACUGGCUGGUUCUCUCAGUACAAAUGUUCUUCCUAGAAUUUCCUCACCCAUUGCCAAACCUGCUUUCUAAGAACUCCCACUCCUUUUUUGGUUUCUGUUUAAUUUGGCCAUUAUUAAUUGUCAAGGUCAUAUCAGGGGUUUAAAAUUUGUAUUUACUUUUUUUUGGAGUAGAAUUGUAAUUGUAACAAAUGUGAGUGGGUUUAUAUCAAGUAAAGAGUUUACAAUUGAACUAGCAACACUUUUUAUUUGAACCAAAUAAAACUCAUAAAAGCUACACUUAAUUCAUGGAAUCAUUUAGUAUGGGUAUCUCAGAGUUUGUUGAACCUCCUUUCUGGAAUACACCCCUGGUAGCUCACAGCAGGUCAUUACCAAAUAAUGCAGAAACAAAGAGUCUGCUAAAAUAGAUAGUGUUAAACGUUAAAAAAAAACUUUAAAAAAUUAAAACAAAAAUUCUCUAAUAAAUAAUUUAUAUAUCUCUCUAAAUAUUCGGUCUAAAAUGAUUUUGAUGUAAUUUGAAGAGUAUUUUUAUUUUAAGGGUGUGGUGUUCGGAAGGCUAUCAGUUUUGCAAUCUGUAACUUAAUGCAGCUUAUAAUAACUCCAUUCUCUAGCUAUGCACCUUCCCACCUUCAUAAUACCAAAAUAACAGGGUUUGUUCAAACCAUUUUGGUCAUAAUUAAUUAUAAUUGGCCUGUCCGGGUGUGGUUACUUUAAAAUGUAUAGGCUAGUUAUUAAUGUCGUCAUGUUUUGCAUUUUAUAAACGGAUUUUAACAGAGUUGUCCUGCAUAAUUCCCUGCACUUGCUGUUUUGGAGUUAUAACGGACAGUCCAUUGGUAUCUUGUUAAAAUGCUUCGAAAUAGGGUUUGCAUCGCUGUGCGUUCCUGGUAAGUUAUCUACAUUACAUCAGCAACUGUUUUUAAUGUUUUUGAGUAUGUCAAUAUGAAACAUUUUAACAUUUUAGGCUGUACCCCAAAAAUGUAAUAAUUUAAGUAAGUCUUUACGAAUCCUAGUUUUCAGUAGUGUAUUCAUAUCUCCGUAAAUAAACAGGCAUUUAGUGUUAUGUUUGGCAUAGAAGUAUUUAUUUCAGUAAAAGGUGUGAUCAUUUAGGUACAGAAAAUGCGUGCUACGUAACCCAACCCGUUAUCAGCGUUAACUGCACUGAACUGCAGUAAGCACUGUUUAUUCAUCUUUUUGAUUCAUUACUUUGUAACAGUUUUAUAAAGUAACAUGAUAUUAAAUUAUUCCCGCUGCGGUAUUAUGGUACCUCAGAUGGUUUUAUUGUUUGUUCCUUUACAUUUUCCUCACAGAAAGCAGACACGUAAAUGCAUUAAAAUGUUAAUUUAAAAUUCUAGUGAGGAAUAGACAUUAAAGACUACCUCGCAGUCUUUCUAAUAGUCUUUCUACUUGUUGAGCAAAACAAGUAGGCUAAACUAAAGCAAAAAAUGCCUCGCUCUCUGCCACACCUGGAGGCUCCUGCCACAGACUUCAGUUUAACCAUACACAGUAAAAAGAAAAAGUGCCUCAAAUAUCCUGUUGUGUACUCAAAGAACCUUAGGGCGUUUUCACACCUAUGUAUCGAUUGCUUUGUUCCGAAACCGGGGGUUAAAUCGCUACAAUAUUGAAAAUUAUUUUAGUUCGGUUUGCAUUCACAAGGCAAUAUUUCCAAACGGACCAAACUUUGUUAAUAAAAGUCACGUGCGAGUAAACUCUCCUUCGAUUGGUCAGAGUGCAUCUGUUUAUUUUCCGGUCGGUAACGCGAGUGAUGAGCGUCAGCUGCGCGUUUCUCACGGCGGAGUUCGGGAAGCAUAAAAGGAGAAGGAUGAGAGAGAACCAGGCCUGGAUUUUAUGUUAUGUUUUAUUGUGUUUGUGUGGCCGGCAGUCGACUGUGAAGGAGCUGUGAGCACUUUACUUUCGUUUUGUUGUUUAUUUUAUUAAAAUUUUGGUUUAACGUUCGCCGGUUUCCGCCUCCUUCCUUCCUUAGAACAUUGUUACAGGGAGCCAUAGCAAAACAAUCCCUUUUGCGUCACGCAACUUUACAUAAUUACCCAUCAUACAUUGUGAUACAGUCUGGUUCGUUGAUCCGUUGGGUCGGAUGGCAUUCACUCGUCUACCGAACCGCUCCAGAGUUCGUCGAGACCACCUUGUUCAUGCGGUCUCGGAGCGAUUGUUUUGGGGCGGAUCCUAGCGCGAUUGCCGUGUUCACAUAUGCCUAAACGAAUCGAACCAAGAGAGAAAACGCACCAGGUUCCGAAACAAACCCUUAUGUUUGAAAACGCCCUUAAACUGUAUUUUAAGUGCUCCAAAGCUCUUUUUCUCAAAAAAAAGGGUUAUGGUGGAACCAUCUAUAGUCUUUGUGGUUCUUCCAGGAACCUAGAAGAUUCUUGAAUAACCCCACAUUCAGUUGUGAAGUUCUGGUGUCACCUUUUCACUACACUGGGACCUCAAAGUGCUUUGCGGGUUAUUGAAGGAACUCAAAUUCUAAAAAAUGGUUCUUGUAAGAUCUGUAAACUUGUAAGUGGUUCCUGGAGAAUCUCUCUUGUACAAGACAGUAUCUAGAGGAACCCCAAAAAAUUCUGCAUGAAAUAAGGAUUUUUAGUGUCUGAUCAUUUUGAUGUUUUAUGAGAAUAAGAAUAGUCCAAAGUUUGGUUUUUGGCCCCUGCUAAGUGAACACACAUUUUAAAAUCAUGCACAUGAUUAGAAAAGGCUAAAUGCUAUUUAGAAAAAUUUCGGCAAUCUUUUUGAUUAUUUUAUAUUUCUUACUAUUUGUAUUAUAUGAUUAAUUAUAUUAAUAUAUUAUAAAUAAACAUUUUUAUUCUGUAAGUAGAUCCUAAGUCACUGAAAUCUUUUGACAAUGUAAACGUUGUUGUGCUUUCCAUCCAAACAAACUGCAGCUGCUCUGUGUUUAUUGUGCAGUCUCGCCCUCCACAGUACUGUGGCGCUGUUGGCCCAAUGUCUCAGCGUCAAGGCAUGUGCCAUGUGGCGCUUUCGUUAGUAUGUGUGUUUAACUUUUUCCAGCUCUGCGCAGACCGAUCACCUUAUGACAAAAAGCAUGCGGACUUAGAAUAACAUCUCUAAAGCAUACAGAGCAGUCAGUUCACAAAUAGCUCUCACUGUGCUUUGAUGUCGCCGAUCCGUCUGCGAUCAAACAUGAGUGGCACGAGUGUUCACCGGUGGUGUUCCGCUCGCGCGACAGGCGGGAAUUCAAAAUAACGGAUCGCAACAACCUCUCGACUGUCCCAUUGGAUAAUUUUCAGUAUUUUCCAGUUGAGCAGCAAAAAAAUGGGCAACCAAGGCCAACAGACCCAGCCCACCCUGAUGCUCGUCCUUGCACUGCCUGGGACACCUAAGGCCAACAGGCGCAGCUCCUGUUCUCUUUUUGCCAUAAAUACAUAUCUACUUUAGCAAUGCAAAAUUGUGAAAUGUACUAUAGAAAUAAUAUUUACUUUCACUACAUGGAUCCUCACACCACCUGGUAAUAGCAGGAAACCCAUUUGGAGAGAACAGCAUUGUUUUCUCUAGCUCGCAAGGAUUUGCUAUUUGGCAAAUUACAACUUUACCAUGGGUGUAAGCCUUGCUAUGAGAGACUACUUUUUUGCUGGACUUUUUUACAAUUGUACAUUUGUACAAAGUGCCUGAAAUAUUUCUGUAUGUACAGUAUAUUUAAAAUUAAGGCAAAUUAUUUGGUUAGUUUUGUUAAGAUAAAGACUUCAUUUAUAACAAUAUCACCAGCACAAUAUUAAUUAUACAUGUGAUUUCAUGAAUUUAGAAUGGUAAUGUUCAAUAUUGACCAUUCUGUAAAUAUUUAUUCAAUGUAAAUUGUUGUUGUUUAUCAAUAAACUGUUGUAUUUGAUUUAGUAUUUCUGCUUAUUAAAAUAUUGUGAAUAGCAAAUAUAAACUGUGAAAUGGUGCCUUGAAGCACCCAAGAUGGUUCCAGACCAUUUUAAUAAAAGGGAUCCCCAAGAAGCCUUGAGGGUUCCUCAGAGAACUGCCCUUCAUUAAGCGGUGCCUUGAGUUUCCCCUGAGGGUUCCGCCGGCGUGGCAAUGUGAAGAACCCCAAAUGGUUCCUCAAAGUACCUUUACGUUUUUACAGUGUAGGAACCAUCUGGGAUAGGAAGACCAAUUAAUCUACAGUUGAGAUCAUGUGAUGGCUCGUGAGUGACGGGGUUUUGGCACUAUAAUGGACCAGAUUUUGUAUAUUGAAGCGAUCACAAUGCCAAAGUGGCCCAAAUAUGGAGAGUAACUCAAAUCUGACAACGUGGAUUACACAUGUGGUGACAGACGGGCUCGAAGACUUUGUAAAUAUAACUAUAACUGAAUUCACAGCAGUUGAAAAAGUAGACUUGCUGAGGGAUUUAAAGAUUUCACGGACUACAAACUGUUUGUUUCCCAUUGAAAACUGUUUAAACUUUAUUAAA